UUUUUUUUUUAGCAAACUCACGUUCUUCCCAUUGAACUUCUGGAACGCUUUCACACCCACCUAUCUGCGGUGCUGUGGAUAAUUGAAAUCUAAGGCAACGACUUAUAGUAACAACAUGUGCUAUUCAUAAUUACAUACGCAAGUGGAAUUUGAAUGAUGAACUAUUUAGGAUGUGGGAAGAAUUGGAUCCCGCGGAUAGCAUGAAUGAAGGUUCUAGCACUGCAGGAACAACCUCACAUGAUGACAAUUUAGCAAGACUAUCUGAUGAAGGUGCAGCUGAAAUGGCAAUGCAAAGGGAUCAAAUUGCAGAUUGGAUGUGGGCACAUCAUGACAUUGAUAAUUGACUCAUUUUAACUUUGUAUGAUAUUAGACCGCAUUAGUUUUAAAUAUUAUCACUUUGACUUUGUUAUCAAGUUGUAAUAUGAUAAUAUGACACUUUUCUUAGUUAUUAGAUUUUAAUUGACUUUAACGUA